rnacentral:rRNA from 1 species
UACGUAGGGUGCAAGCGUUAAUCGGAAUUACUGGGCGUAAAGCGUGCGCAGGCGGCUAUGCAAGACAGAUGUGAAAUCCCCGGGCUCAACCUGGGAACUGCAUUUGUGACUGCAUGGCUAGAGUACGGUAGAGGGGGGAUGGAAUUCCGCGUGUAGCAGUGAAAUGCGUAGAUAUGCGGAGGAAUACCGAUGGCGAAGGCAGCCUCCUGGGCCAACACUGACGCUCAUGCACGAAAGCGUGGGGAGCAAACAGG